UCCGUGAGGCAGGGACGGGACAGCGAGGGGUGGUGGGAGCCGGGCGUCCCCUUAGCAGGGACAUUCCGCGGGGCCGGGCGCCGGGGUUCCCGGGCUGCCCCCGCCACCGCCCUCCCCACCGGCUGACAUUUGCCAUGCGCAGACAAUACGCGCUUUACCGAACAAUUCAGCCCGAGCCCCGCUGCAAACUCGCUGCGUUAUUUUUCUCCUCGUUCUCCGCUUGUUUAUGGCUGACGCUAUCUCGCCUGCACCGCUCCCUCGGUUUCAUUAUCUCUUGUCGCAGAUGGACCGUGGCUUUCCUUCUUCACAGGGCUUCUCUCUGCUGGUGCUACAGCUCCCUCUCCUCUUCCCAGCUCUGCAUCCUUCACCCUUGCUCACAGGUGAGCCUUUUCCAGAGAAGCACUUCACUCCAGCUGUCCUUCCUCCUGCAGUCCCUUCUCCUCUACAGACCUCACCAUCCCGUAAAAUAAAGCCAAUGGCGCUAAUGUAAUAAUGCUGAUAUUGUGGCCAGCGGGACCAGGGCAGUGACCAUCCCCUGUGCUGGGGCACCUCCAGUCCCAGGGAUUAAAGAAGUGCAACAGCUUCCAGGGAUUCAAAUGCAUGGUGGGAAAAGGAGAAAAGUUUUUUUACCUCAUUGGCAGAGAAUUUAAGGAUGGGUGUAACAGCCAGCGUGUCCCUCUAAGGCAGCACCUGAGGGGGUCAUGUGUGUGACAUCCUUUAAGGAAGAUGCUUCCUCUGGAUCUCUUUCUUAGCAACCACAAUGAGCCAUCCUGGUAGAGCUGGGAGCCUCCAUGCAGUCUGGAUAUGGAGUCCUGUGUUCAUUCUGGGCUUGGUUGUGCUGGUUCCCUGGGGAGAACUCUGACCACCCUUCCAAAAUACUCCGUGACUGGUUUCCUUUCUCAGAGACUGAGUUUGAGGAUAUAUUUCACGGAGCAAUAGCUAUGCAAAUGCAAAUCCUCCUUGUAGAGUUCUCUUAACUUCAAGCCACUAAAUAUACACAUUUGGUCUGUGGAACUGAAUUUACUUCCCCUCUCAGAGGAACAAGCUUUGUCAGCUGUAAUGAUGAGCUGUUGUUUGACAUUCAUAAUAUUGUACUUCACUGCUUAUCUGAUGGAGCCAUGCAAAGCUAUUUGGGGGGUUCUGAAAUGUGACAGCCCACAUGAUGCUUUUUUAGACUUCACAAACCGCCUUCACGAGGCAGGAGAAUAUGACAUGGGAACGGCUGGCUGGAACAACGGCGUGCCUUAAUGCCAGCGGGCUUGCUGUAGCUGGGGAGGAGGAAUGCUCUUUGGAAGUUUGCAGCUUUUGUUGUCUGCUGUCAAAGGAAGAACUUAGAGCCUGAAAGAACAUCUUGGAUGCCAUAGGUGGGGACCGUGGGGAUUAUUGAUCCUGUCUGGAAACAGCAUAAAGAUGGAGGCAAAUAUGUUAAACCUGUUUGGAUCAUCCACAGAUGGAAGGGGACUCAAGGGAGACAGCUCAGAUACCCCAUUUCAUGCUGUCUUGCCUUAAUGAACAAAAAUAUCUCACUUUCUGACAAACUUCUGUAUCUUCAUCCUUGCUGACAUGCGGAGCAUUCAUUGCAAGCUUAGUUUUGAAUCCUGGAAGCCUCCAGGUGAAAGAACUCAUCUAGGGAAACCAAAACUCAACAAAUCUUCUGGCUUCUCUUCACAGACUAGCAGCAGAAGAGCACAAGGGUUACCUGUGACAUCUGUUCCAUAUGAACCCAUGGAAGCUGACUAAAUGGGUGAUGCAUUCUCACUUCCCUGCAGUGGCCAGGCUUUAAAGACCUGUUGGGGACUCUGGCCACACAAUGACCUGGCAGUCCUGGCUGUAUGUGACUGUCACUCCCACCUGCCUCUCCUGGCAUUCCCUGAACUUUAACCACAACUUCUGGCUGCAUCACAGUCCUGUUGGUCACUGGGGAAAGGCAGAAGAGGUUGUCCCUUCAAACCCUGCCACCACGGUUCCUCUCAGUGUCCUCUGGCUCACGCUGACCCAUCACCAUCUGCCCCAUGUCCCACCUCUGACAUCCUGCCUCAUCCUUUUCCAGGUGAAGAACCACAGCUGGAGUAAAACAGGGGGACAAUGCCAUGGGAAAACCCUUUCCUGGGAUGCAAUAACCCCCCAGCCUGUUCAUCUUUGUCAUGUGAUUGUGCUUGUCAGCACAGCUCUGCUGCAGAGCUCGGGCUGUGCCGGGCCCUGCAGGGUUGGAGGCUGGGCUGGCUCUCCUGGAGCAUUUGGCUGAGUCUGUCACCAGUGACUGAAGUAGGAGCAGGUUUCAGCUGCUGAAAAUCCCAUCCAGAUCUGCUGCAAAGUGGAAAUCAUUUGUUAAAUGCUUUCUAUUGGGGCAGUAGCACCCCUUCCUCUUGCAGAAGCAUUUGGAUUUCUGCCCAUGGAGAGGACCAAAGAGAGCAUCAGGAUCCAACUAGAGCACAAAAACACGGAGGGCUGACUGAGAAAAAUGCAACAUGGACUUGAACAGAGGCAAACUGCCAAACCCUCACCCUUGGAGGCCUGCUGCUCCACAGACAAGACUUGCUAGCAUGGGUUUUGAGGUUAAUGACACACAUAGGCAUGAAGUGCCUUCUUCUGUACUGGUCCAGGGAAGGAAACCUUGCUCACAUCUCCUUGUGGGACCAUCUCAUUUGGGGUACUGGCCCUCCUCCUCCAGCACAGCUCAGCCAGUGCUGGCUGCUCCUUUCCACCCCAUUUCUUCCUCUGCCAUGGACUUGCAAAUCCCAUCACGGCUGCCUGUCUGGAGCUACAAAUGCCCCUGCAAAUGCUCCUUCUUAAGUCAAACACCCACAUGAAGGCUGCAGAAGAUCAACUGAGCUGUCAAGUGAAAACAGAACUCACCAGGUGACCUAGAGGUCUUGGAAAUAAAAACAAGAUCAAUAUUUGCUGAGAUUUGUAGCAGGUUCAUGCCUGAAAACAACAGCUGGGACAUGGCCUCUCUUUCCUUGACCAAUGCUCCUGGUGAUGCCUGGGUUAGUGUGUCAUUGCUCUCCCCUGUGCUCUCACGCCGUGCCCUUGUUCUCACUCCCUCAUGGCUUCGGGGAUGUAGAGGCUGAAAUUCCUCUUCACGCGCUCUUGUCACCAGUGGAAAAGCAGCUGCAGUCCUGCCCAUGCAUUGCUCAUACUUACAGCUUAAACAUUGCCUUCUACUCGAAAGAACAAAGAUAAAAUGUCAGGAAUUCACAGUUUUUAUUCUCUUCCUUAUGCCCACCCAUCUUCCCCUGCCAUCGAUGUCAAUGACUCAAAGUCUGCAUCGUACAGUAGCCUUUGCCAGCGCGGCACUCAAAGGGUUAACAAACCACGGCUUCUUGGACAGAUAAGACAUAAGCUCAUUCACCAGUAGGAACACGUGGACAGUUGGGUUGUGGAUCACCUUAGGGCUUCCUGUAGCGAUUCUUUGGGGUUUCACCACAGCCAGUGACGUCGCAGGAGAGGACAUUGGGCUUCUUCCCCAGGCCGAUGCUUCCCAAGAGAUCGGGAAGCUCACGGGUGAUGGCCUUCUCAAUCUUCUCUAGGAAACACCCUCCCAUGUAGGAACACUGCUGAGAUAGCAGCUUAAAACUGGUGAUGGGGUUGAUGCCAAAGAAGUCCUUGUAAGCCUCACGGUUGGGGAGGUCAAAUUUGCUGACAUUGGUCUUUGCCAGAAUGGACUUAAAGAUAAAGAACCUGUCAGGAUCUUCCACAAUGUCCCUGAACACCAGUUCUCCAUCACUAAAGAAGGUCAUUUUGUCCUUGUAGGUCUGUAGAUAGCGAUCGACCAGCAGGGCGUGGAUGCGCACCCGGAUGGCGUGCUGGCGGAUGAAGGCAAUCUUGUUUUCCAUCCUGUUCUCAAUCACCUGGUUGAGAUCUUCCAGGAGCGAUAUCUCUUCUUUGAGGAACAGGUCUCUGUGGGUUUCUGGAUGGUAGUCAUGGGGCCAGAAGGAGCUAACGUACACCCUGGGCGGCUCUGUGACGUUGAUGAGAGGAGCCAAGCUCCAGAACAAGGCGCCGUAGACUCUCAUCAGCUCCUGGGUAGCCAGGCUGUCAGCUUUGUUCAGGAUGAUUCGGAUCUGAGACUCACGGCCCUUCAGCUGACGAAACAGCAUCUCCAGCUCCAAGCCCACAUCCAGCUUCGUGGGGUCAAAGACAACAAAGAUGAGGUCGGCUCUGUCAAUGAACCACUGGCACACGUCGUUGAAUGGGUAACCUUGAGGAGAGGAAAGAGGGAAAUCCAAUGCAGGAUGAGUCCCUUCAUCAAGGGAUUGAUAAAGCAUGAGCCUGCUGUGCCUCAAUCCCCAUUUGGGCUGCAUGGGUUGUGAGGCACAGCAGACUUCCCCUGUAGCCUAGAACCUCUUCCUCACAUGCUAAAGACACUUUGGAGCUUCUUGGCGCAAAAAGCCAUCCCUGGGUGUCUAGGCCAGUGACUGCCUGUCUCUCUCACCCUUAUCUCAAGACCUUCCUCCUCCCUGAUGCUGACCACAGGUUCCUGCUGUUCCUGUGAGCAGAUACCGAAUCACAGGAUUAGAGAAUCUUUAUAAUUGGGAAAGUCCUCUAAGAUGAUCGAGUCCAACCAUUCCCCCAGCACUGCCACGGCCACCAGUAAACCACGUCCCCAGGUGCCACAUCCACAGAUCUUUUAAUUCCCCCCAAGGGAUGGUGACUCCACCACUGUCCUGGACAGCCUGUGUUGUGUCAGCGCUCUUCUCCAUUGUGCUUCAGCCACCUUUGUCACCUCAGAUCAUCAUGGCUUGGGGUCCCUUAGAUGAACCCAAUGAUCCCCUACCUCUUUCUUGCUGCUUGCGGUUUUCGAUGAUGCCCGGCGUGUCCACGAAGGUGACUCGCUCCAGCAGUUUGUGGGGGACCUCAAUGCCUAUCAGCUUCUCCAAGAAGUUCUGCCCAAACUUCUCCAGGGGUGAGAAGGAGCGGGCACUGUCAGCAGCCAUCACAAUGCCCUCAAUGGUCUUCAGCUUGGGGCCGUGCAUGAUGACGGUGAACUCGGAGGUGGUGGGUUCUGCCCCUGUGCAGCAAUGAGAGGAGCAGCAGAGGCGUGAAAUCCAUGCCAGGCUAUGGACAUGACAGGGCUGACCUGAGACUGGGAGCAUUGGGAUCAUUGCAUGCUUCUCAAGAGAUGCAGGGGCGAGGCAAGCAGCAAGAAAUUCCUGCCCAGACUUCCUGGGAAGAUGUCAGUGGGGUUGUUUUCUGUGGGGACUGGUUUCUCUGGAAGUGGCCUGAUUGCACAAGGUGUCACGGAGAACCAUCUCCUGGGAGCCCUCAUUACCACAGCACUGAUCUGGCCAUGGACAUCUGCCCUCAGCAGUGAGAUGACACCCGUGGGAGCAGGGAGGAAGGAAGGGGAAUGGCUUUUCUCCUGGGAGGGUGAAAUAGCUGGCGGCAUGUGAGGAGGGAUGGGGAGAGGAGAAAGGUGAGUUGCCCUUUUGACGUGCCUGCUACUCACAGGACAGGGUUGGGAGGUGUGAGCCCUGUGCUGCAGGAUGAGGAUGUUGUGGGAGAGAUGCUCUCCUCCACCCUUGGAAGGGGGGACAGUCUGUGACGGGGAACCUCUCCCUCCACAUGGCAGCGCAACCAGGUGGCACGGAGCAGAUCCCACCCUCCCUGCUGUAACGAGGGAUCAGGGGUCAAAGACACACGGCUGGGAAUUGCUGACUGCGCGGAUGAGGAAAUGCAGAUGCCGGCACCCCCUCGGCAAAGCAGUGAGUGUGGUACCUGUGUAGAGCUGGUAGGGAGUGUUGUCCAGCCCCAGGAGGUAGUUUAUCAUGGAGGAUUUGCCGACGCUCCACGGUCCCAGGAAUAGCACCAUAGGCUUGGAAGUGAUCUCCCCAUCUGCGGAGAGGGGAAAUAACAAGAGGAAGUGAAGGAACAAUAGCCGUCGCCGCCGUGCGAUUAACUCCCGGCUGUAACGAGCAUCCCAUGUGAGCGGCGCGGUGAUGCUGCCGGGGAAACAGCCGCCCUUCGGGGGCCACCAGCCAUUCGCCAGCCAAGGAGCGCCCCGCCGGCUGCGGGAGCGGGACAGCCCCGUGCUCUGCGGCACAGCCCACCUCGCUGCCCGACCUUCUCCGAGCUUUAGCCCUUCUUAGACUACGGAGGACUGGAAGGUGGUGACAGCGGGGAUGGAGACCCCACAGCCCGGUUCUGGGUGCCACAGGAUGCCGUGGCCGAUUUGCACCCAGGUCUGUGUGGGAAGGAGAGGCAUGGCCGAACAUCACAGUGUCCCUUCCAUCCCUGCACGGGGAUGGACAGAACAGCAACGACCUGACAGCAAAAGGGGUCCUCCAGGAGGACGGUGAGAAGGGACAGAUGGGCACAGGUGGCCCUGGAGGGACGCUCUCCCCCUCCAGCAGAAAUCGGAGCCCUGAGCGUGGGGCCGGCGGUGGCAGGGCUGCGGGGAUGGCUUUUCACACGCCCCCUUCCCCUGCCCAGAUCCCAAUCCCUGCUUCCCUGGGGGUAUUAUCCACUGGCUCCUGCAAGUCCUGUGCUCCCUGUCUUGUCAGGACAUUGUAUCCUAAAUAUCCAAACCUGCCUUUAUUCUGGCAAAGCCCUUUAAAACCUCACAGAAAUUGACUGGACACAAAGAAGCUGUCAGGGAGUUCCUGGGAUUUUCCAGCUGGACCUGUUGCAGACCCCACCAUUCCUGUGAGACCCAUUUUCAUGGUGAUGUCCCUUCCCUCCAGGCUCUGUGGGGUCCCCAUGGCCUUUGCUCAGGGCCAUCCCCCCAGUGCUCCUCCAGCUUGUGGCCCUGCCAGCUCAGGACUCAGAGCAGGGGGGAGCCCGGCUCCAGCUCCAGCUUGGGGUCAGCUGGGCCAACACCUUCAGAGGGAAGUGUCCCACAAGGGUUCAAGCAGCCCAGAGGACACAAGCACAAGGAUGGGACUGAGGAUGGGGUUGGCUCUUCAGACCCUUGUGCACCCCAAAACUCAGGAUGCUCAGAUGCAUCAUCACAUCCCAGAAGCUUCAUGAUCCCAAAACACCUGCAUAUAACAAAUAUAUUCCUGGUUUUCAAUGCAGAGAGAGGUCUAGGAAACAGUUUUGUCAAACUAACUUGACCUCAUUUGUAGAGAAAAUUUUAAGUUUAAUU